UUGACGGUACCCUACUAGAAAGGAGCCGCCAACUUCGUGCCAGAAGCGUCGGUAAUACGGGGGCUCCAAGCGUUAUCCGGUGUUAUUGGGCGUAAAGAGUCGUGUAGGUGGUUGGGUAAGUUAUCUUUCAAAUAUCUUUGCUUAACAAAGAGGAGGGGGAUAAUACUGCUCGACUAGAAUUUUCUCAAGGGAGAUCGGAACUGAGGGAGGAGUAGUGAAAUGCGUUGAUACCCUCGGGAACACCAGUGGCGUAGGCGGAUCUCUGGGAGAAGAUUGACACUGAGACACGAAAGCUAGGGGAGCGAAGCAGAUUAGAGACCUGCGUAGUCCUAGCCGUAAACGCAUGCUUGCUAGCUGCAUGAAUCUACCUUCGGGUGGUAUCGUGUGGCGAAGGUAACCCGUUAAGCAAGCCGCCUGGAAAGCACGGCCGCAAGGCUGAAAUUCAAAGGAAUUGGCGGGGAGGCACACAACCAGUGGAACAUGUGGUUUAAUUCGAGACUAACCGAAGAACCUCACCAGGGUUUGACAUGUAGCUGCACGUCUUAAGAAAUUAAGACUCUCUUGAAGGUGCUACACAGGUGCUGCAUGGCUGUCGUCAGCUCGUUCCGUGAGGAGUGCCCUUAAGUGGGACAACGAGCGCAACCCCUAUUACAUGUUAGAAAUGUCAUGUAAGACUGCCUUGCCAUUUGGCGGGGAGGAAGGAGGGGCAGACGUCAAGUCCGCAUGGUCCUUAUGCCCUGGGCUACACACAUGUUACAAUGAGUACGGCAAUGAGUCUGUCGCGAGCACGUAAGUGUAAGCUAAUCUCUUAAAUGUACUCUCAGUGGGGAUUGAGGUCUGCAACUCGACCUCAUGAACACGGAAUUGGUAGUAAUCGCGGGUCAGCUAUACCGCGGUGAAUACGUUCUUGCCUCUUGCACACACCGCCCGUCAAACCAGCAAAGU
rnacentral:rRNA from 1 species